AUGGCCAAGGCUUGCGUCCUCCGCCGUGUGGUGCUGGUGGUGUGUGUGCUCCUGCUUCUCUCGUCCACUUUCGUGGUGGCUGAGGCAACCGGCGGACAAUUGGAUCAUGGGAGAAAGGCCACGAUGGCGGCAACGACAAUGGCGACAAAGCGUCUUGUGAGGAAGCUUCUGCAGGAGGAGGUGGUCCAGGCGGACGACGACGGUGUCAUUGACAUUGGCGGCUCUAAGAGGAAGAGCCCUGGCGGCCCAGACCCGCAGCAUCAUUAA
rnacentral:rRNA from 1 species